rnacentral:rRNA from 1 species
AUUGAACGCUGGCGGCAGGCUUAACACAUGCAAGUCGAGCGGGGGGAGGUAGCUUGCUACCGGACCUAGCGGCGGACGGGUGAGUAAUGCUUAGGAAUCUGCCUAUUAGUGGGGGACAACAUCUCGAAAGGGAUGCUAAUACCGCAUACGUCCUACGGGAGAAAGCAGGGGAUCUCCGGACCUUGCGCUAAUAGAUGAGCCUAAGUCGGAUUAGCUAGUUGGUGGGGUAAAGGCAUACCAAGGCGACGAUCUGUAGCGGGUCUGAGAGGAUGAUCCGCCACACUGGGACUGAGACACGGCCCAGACUCCUACGGGAGGCAGCAGUGGGGAAUAUUGGACAAUGGGGGGAACCCUGAUCCAGCCAUGCCGCGUGUGUGAAGAAGGCCUUAUGGUUGUAAAGCACUUUAAGCGAGGAGGAGGCUACUUUAGUUAAUACCUAGAGAUAGUGGACGUUACUCGCAGAAUAAGCACCGGCUAACUCUGUGCCAGCCGCCGCGGUAA